UACGGAGGGAGCUAGCGUUGUUCGGAAUUACUGGGCAUAAAGCGCACGUAGGCGGCUUUGUAAGUUAGAGGUGAAAGCCCGGGGCUCAACUCCGGAACUGCCUUUAAGACUGCAUCGCUUGAAUCCGGGAGAGGUGAGUGGAAUUCCGAGUGUAGAGGUGAAAUUCGUAGAUAUUCGGAAGAACACCAGUGGCGAAGGCGGCUCACUGGACCGGUAUUGACGCUGAGGUGCGAAAGCGUGGGGAGCAAACAGG
rnacentral:rRNA from 1 species